GACGUAGGGCGCGAGCGUUAUUCGGAAUUAUUGGGCGUAAAGGGCGCGUAGGCGGCCUGGCAAGUGGAAGGUGAAAUCCCUCGGCUUAACCGAGGAACUGCCUUCGAUACUGCGGGUCUCGAGUCCGGGAGAGGUGAGUGGAAUUCCUAGUGUAGAGGUGAAAUUCGUAGAUAUUAGGAAGAACACCAGUGGCGAAGGCGGCUCACUGGCCCGGUACUGACGCUGAGGCGCGAAAGCGUGGGGAGCAAACAGG
rnacentral:rRNA from 1 species